rnacentral:rRNA from 1 species
CCACCACUAGGACAAACAUAAACCUUUUGUAAUUGCAAUCAGCGUCAGUAACAAAUUAAUAAUUACAACUUUCAACAACGGAUCUCUUGGUUCUGGCAUCGAUGAAGAACGCAGCGAAAUGCGAUAAGUAGUGUGAAUUGCAGAAUUCAGUGAAUCAUCGAAUCUUUGAACGCACAUUGCGCCCUUUGGUAUUCCAAAGGGCAUGCCUGUUCGAGCGUCAUUUGUACCCUCAAGCUUUGCUUGGUGUUGGGCGUCUUGUCUCUAGCUUUGCUGGAGACUCGCCUUAAAGUAAUUGGCAGCCGGCCUACUGGUUUCGGAGCGCAGCACAAGUCGCACUCUCUAUCAGCAAAGGUCUAGCAUCCAUUAAGCCUUUUUUUCAACUUUUGACCUCGGAUCAGGUAGGGAUACCCGCUGAACUUAAGCAUAUCAUA